GUGUGUCAUUUCUAAAUGUAAACUUUCCCUUUUCAUCCUAAUUAUUUCCAACCCUCCUGUUAACGUUCUGUUUGUUACAAAGCACCAGAAUUUUGGAGCACCUGUCACUGGUAUGGCUGAGAGUGCAAAUGGGGAAGGGGACGCAGUGACCUCUGCAUCAGACAUGGACACGGGCUGAGCGAUCUGGGUCUCACAGAUUCUUACAUCAAGGAUCUCACCUCCACUCUCGAUAUACCAUUCACUGAGGGUGCUGGACCUGGGGAAAUAAUCCUUCACAGACCGAUCUGUCCCCGCUCUCUGCCACCUCGUACUGACCCUCCCGAGUCUGGAGCUGAUCACGCUGCGGGAGAAUCAUUUCAGUUCAAGUGGAGAGAAUCAGCUGAAGUCACUGCGGGGAACCAGACCCGGACUGAGUGUGUCCCAGUGAACAUCUCGCUGUAGGAAAAUCACCGGCCUCUGGAUGGGAACACUUCUGGCCGACGGCCGCCCUCCACUUUAAAUGGCUGCGCCCCGUAUUUAACACCGAACAGCUGUACCGGUUCCCAGCUCGAGCUGAGGUGGCUGUGGUAUCAGGGGCGGUCCUGCUGCCCCGUGUCUCAGCGGUCAAUCCAUUUGAACCUGGGGAACUGCACCGACAGGAAGGGCCCAGGGUGGGGCUCAUUCUGGGACAGAAGUAAUGGCAUUCAGUGUCCUGCGGUGGAGCUUAGACUGGGACACCAGUAAUGGCAUUCACUGGCAUGGGUGGGGCUUAGUCUGGGACACCAGUGAUGGCGUUCAGUGUCCGGGCUGGGGCUCAGUCUCGGCCACCAGUGAUGGCAUUCUGUGUCCCGGGAGUGGGACUAUCUGGGGAGAGAGCGAUUUUGGCCAUGUUGCUGAGGCUGUUGCGGCUGGAAUUUUCCCUCGAGUCCCUGCUGCAGCCUGUUGAUAUCAUGGUAACUUGUCAAAUAUCUCAGUCGUUGUCCCUGGAUCUGCAGUGAUCUUGGACGCUGCACUGAAGCGUGAUUUCAUAAUCAGCGGUCACCCGGAUGUUUCUCCCACAUUCCAAAGACGUACAGGUUAGGAAGUUAUGGGCAUGUUAUGUUGGUGCCGGAAGAGUGGCGACACUUUCGGGCUACCCCCCAAAAUCACGACACAAAAGAUGUA